UGAGGAAUAUUGGACAAUGGGCGCAAGCCUGAUCCAGCCAUGCCGCGUGCAGGAAGAAGCAUCUAUGGUGUGUAAACUGCUUUUGUACGGGAAGAAACACUCCUACGUGUAGGAGCUUGACGGUACCGUAAGAAUAAGGAUCGGCUAACUCCGUGCCAGCAGCCGCGGUAAUACGGAGGAUCCAAGCGUUAUCCGGAAUCAUUGGGUUUAAAGGGUCCGUAGGCGGUUUAAUGAGUCAGUGGUGAAAGCCCAUCGCUCAACGAUGGAACGGCCAUUGAUACUGCUAGACUUGAAUUACAAGGAAGUAACUAGAAUAUGUAGUGUAGCGGUGAAAUGCUUAGAUAUUACAUGGAAUACCAAUUGCGAAGGCAGGUUACUACUUGUGGAUUGACGCUGAUGGACGAAAGCGUGGGGAGCGAACA
rnacentral:rRNA from 1 species